GGGCUGAUCCCUGCGCGUGGUUUCUCAAGCAAGAGAAGGGCAUCUGGUGGAUGCCUUGGCGUCAAGAGGCGAUGAAGGACGUGGCACUCUGCGAAAAGCCAUGGGGAGCUGAGAGCAAGCUUUGAUCCAUGGAUAUCCGAAUGGGGAAACCCACCCCUUAUGGGGUAUCCGUAGCUGAAUCCAUAGGCUACGGAAGCGAACCCGGCGAACUGAAACAUCUAAGUAGCCGGAGGAAAGGAAAUCAACCGAGACUCCGUUAGUAGUGGCGAGCGAACGCGGAUCAGCCCAGUGGUAUUUAUGUCUAAACCGGAACCGUCUGGAAAGUCGGGCCAUAGCGGGUGACAGCCCCGUACGGGUAGAUGGCAUUUAUAUCCUCGAGUAGGGCGGGACACGUGAAAUCCUGUCUGAACGUGGGGGGACCACCCUCCAAGGCUAAGUACUCCUUGACGACCGAUAGUGCACCAGUACCGUGAGGGAAAGGUGAAAAGCACCCCGAUGAGGGGAGUGAAACAGAUCCUGAAACCGGAUGCCUACAAGCAGUCGGAGCCUUUUCGGAGGUGACGGCGUACCUUUUGUAUAAUGGGUCAGCGACUUAAUCUGGCGAGCAAGCUUAAGCCGAUAGGUGUAGGCGCAGCGAAAGCGAGUCUUAAUAGGGCGUCGAGUUCGUCGGAUUAGACCCGAAACCGAGUGAUCUAGCCAUGGGCAGGUUGAAGGUGGAGUAACACCCACUGGAGGACCGAACCCACGUCUGUUGAAAAAGACGGGGAUGACCUGUGGCUAGGGGUGAAAGGCCAAUCAAACUCGGAAAUAGCUGGUUCUCCGCGAAAGCUAUUUAGGUAGCGCGUCGGAUGAUUACCACCGGGGGUAGAGCACUGGAUGGGCUAGGGGGCCGCGAGGCCUACCAAACCUAACCAAACUCCGAAUACCGGUGAGUACAGUCCGGCAGACAGACUCAGGGUGCUAACGUCCUGGGUCAAGAGGGAAACAACCCAGACCACCAGCUAAGGUCCCCAAGUCACGGCUAAGUGGGAAAGGAUGUGGGACGGCCAUAACAACCAGGAGGUUGGCUUAGAAGCAGCCAUCCUUUAAAGAAAGCGUAACAGCUCACUGGUCUAAUAGCUAUCCUGCGCCGAAGAUGUACCGGGGCUCAAGCCGUGCACCGAAGCUGUGGAUUCUUCCUUCGGGAAGAGUGGUAGCGGAGCGUUCCGUAGGCCUGUGAAGGUGUCUCGUAAGGGAUGCUGGAGGUAUCGGAAGCGAGAAUGCUGACAUGAGUAGCGACAAGGAGUGUGAGAAACACUCCCGCCGAAAGCCCAAGGGUUCCUGCGCAAGGCUAAUCCGCGCAGGGUGAGUCGGCCCCUAAGUCGAGGGCGAAAGCCGUAGACGAUGGGAAUCAGGUUAAUAUUCCUGAACUCGUGAGAUGUGACGCCUUUCGGACGUUGUUCCUCCUUAUCGGAUUGGAGGGGCAGGCAGGAAAGGCCGGGAAAUAACCUCACGUAUGAACCGUACCCCAAACCGACACAGGUGGGCUGGUAGAGUAUACCAAGGCGCUUGAGAGAAUGGUGUUGAAGGAACUAGGCAAAUUGCCCCCGUAACUUCGGGAGAAGGGGGCCCUCGUGGUGGGCAACCAUCAUGGGGGGGCACAGACCAGGGGGUGGCGACUGUUUACUAAAAACACAGGGCUCUGCGAAGUCGCAAGACGACGUAUAGGGUCUGACGCCUGCCCGGUGCCGGAAGGUUAAGAGGAGAGGUGCAAGCUUUGAAUCGAAGCCCCGGUAAACGGCGGCCGUAACUAUAACGGUCCUAAGGUAGCGAAAUUCCUUGUCGGGUAAGUUCCGACCUGCACGAAUGGCGUAACGACUUCCCCGCUGUCUCCAACACCAACUCAGCGAAAUUGAAUUCUCCGUGAAGAUGCGGAGUUCCCACGGCCAGACGGAAAGACCCCAUGAACCUUUACUACAACUUCGCAGUGGCAUUAGGCGAUGGAUGUGUAGGAUAGGCGGGAGGCUUUGAAGCAUAGGCGCCAGCUUGUGUGGAGCCACCCUUGAAAUACCGCCCUUCCGUCUCCUGAUGUCUAACCGCGGCCCGUGAUCCGGGUCCGGGACCCUGCGUGGUGGGUAGUUUGACUGGGGCGGUCGCCUCCCAAAGAGUAACGGAGGCGCGCGAUGGUGGGCUCAGGCCGGUCGGAAAUCGGCUGAUGAGUGCAAUGGCAAAAGCCCGCCUGACUGCGAGAGCGACAGUUCGAGCAGAGUCGAAAGACGGUCAUAGUGAUCCGGUGGUCCCGCGUGGAAGGGCCAUCGCUCAACGGAUAAAAGGUACUCUGGGGAUAACAGGCUGAUACUGCCCAAGAGUCCACAUCGACGGCAGUGUUUGGCACCUCGAUGUCGGCUCAUCACAUCCUGGGGCUGGAGCAGGUCCCAAGGGUUCGGCUGUUCGCCGAUUAAAGUGGUACGUGAGCUGGGUUUAGAACGUCGUGAGACAGUUCGGUCCCUAUCUACCGUGGGUGUAGGAUACUUGAGAGGAGCUGUCCCUAGUACGAGAGGACCGGGAUGGACAUACCUCUGGUGUACCAGUUGUCACGCCAGUGGCACCGCUGGGUAGCUAAGUAUGGACGGGAUAACCGCUGAAAGCAUCUAAGCGGGAAGCCUCCCUCAAAACCAGGUAUCCCUAUCAGGACCGUGGAAGACCACCACGUUGAUAGGCCGGGUGUGGAAGCGCAGUAAUGCGUGAAGCUAACCGGUACUAAUCGUCCGAUCGGCUUGAUUGACCACGCGCA
rnacentral:rRNA from 1 species